rnacentral:misc_RNA from 1 species
GUAGAAGGCGACUCACAGACUACAUGCCCGACGUUGGCCCAUUCACGUCACAUUGUGUACGCCAUGCUGGCGCUCCCCUCACACACGCGGGACUGGCCCCGAUAACGUUUUAAUGCGAUCAUGCACGCGCCCCCAGGUGCGCAUGGGCUGGUCAUGCUAAAGGAAGGCACCUCCACCCUGUCGAUCACAGAGUUUGAUGUGAGGACCACGUGCCCUUCAAUCAGUGCGGCAUCACAGAGGUGUCAUUGCGGGACCCCCAUUGGGAAGACUCCGAUGGGUCUCGGUGUUGCACCCGCAACGCAACCAUCAUGCACAUCUCUCGCGAAAAUGACUUAGAUCUCGCCGGGGCGUGCACUACGCAGCUCGAAAAGACAAGACGCAGCAGGCGCCUGCAAGUGGCGCUUCGAAAAGCUUCCCUACCUGGCGGGAGGAAGAGAUGCCGCGUGAAGAGAGCCGCCACCUUGUCUUGGAACGAGUUGAAGGUGAUCGGGGAGUCCCCAGCCCCACAUCGCCCUCCACGAGCCCCGGACUCGAGCUCCAGCACACCGAAGACAACGUGAGGAUUCUCAUCAGUGUCUCCUCGGCGGCGUACAAGACGCUGGCCAACGAGGCUGUGUCGGCUCGGGAAUGCCGCUUCAUCUUGCUAGAGGUGCGAGCUGAGAUUGCCAUACGUGGAACUAAGUUUACGGACGCCACGGAGCCUCUGCCGCCGUGUAAAGCGAGCAUGCGCUGCUGCGGCUACUGUCAUGGCCGUUAGUCACGCGUGCAACACAGCCGAAGGUUGUGUUGGCGGAUGCUGGGGGGGGGAGUGUCGGGCAGCGCAUGCAAGGCAUUCGGGGGCACCACCACGUGGCGGCAGAUACGCAGCCUGUGGUCCCGCGUAGCCGCAUGGUCGCGAGUGUCAGCGGCCCUCCGCCGAAGGAGCACACACAGCAGCGCUGUUCGCUCAUGCUACUGCAGCGUCGGUGCAGGCAAGGCACACGUGCGCUGGCCACAUCAUCAGCAUCUUCAGGAGGCUUGGCAAGCUUCAAGGCGGGCUCUCACGCUGAUGGACACAGCACUCAGAGCGGAUGGCAACCCAGCUCUCCUCCAACGGGCGAGGCCGGUGAAGCGAAAAAUGACGUGCUCUCGAUAUGCUGCAUCACAGAACCCCCCCACCCCCGGUGCGUUGUCUGCUGCUGCUCGCGUGGAAAACGGCGAGUCGAUUUCACAAGGUCCAACGCCUAAAGCCACAGAUCAUUCUCCGCCUGACCGAGCUCGAAAUGUUUGGCGACAUUGCCCGUAGUAGGCCAGAAAACGGGGAUGGGGCCCAUGAACACAGCAAAUAUCUUCUCCUCUCUCUUAACCUCAUUUUUUCUCUCUUUGAUCUCGCACCGGCGAGGGCAG